UACGGAGGGCGCGAGCGUUACCCGGAUUUACUGGGCGUAAAGGGCGUGUAGGCGGUUUGGGGCGUCCCAUGUGAAAGGCCACGGCUCAACCGUGGAGGAGCGUGGGAUACGCUCAAGCUAGAGGGUGGGAGAGGGUGGUGGAAUUCCCGGAGUAGCGGUGAAAUGCGCAGAUACCGGGAGGAACGCCGACGGCGAAGGCAGCCACCUGGCCCAUUUCUGACGCUGAGGCGCGAAAGCGUGGGGAGCAAACCGGAUUAGAUACCCGGGUAGUCCACGCCCUAAACGAUGCACGCUAGGUCUUUGGGGUUUACCUGAGGGCCGAAGCCAACGCGUUAAGCGCGCCGCCUGGGGAGUACGGCCGCAAGGCUGAAACUCAAAGGAAUUGACGGGGGCCCGCUCAAGCGGUGGAGCAUGUGGUUUAAUUCGAAGCAACGCGGAGAACCUUACCAGGCCUUGACAUGCUAGGGGACCCAGGUGAAAGCCUGGGGUGCCCGCGAGGGAGCCCUAGCACAGGUGCUGCAUGGCCGUCGUCAGCUCGUGUCGUGAGAUGUUGGGGUUAAGUCCCGCAACGAGCGCAACCCCUGCCCCUAGUUGCCAGCGGGUUAGGCCGGGCACUCUAGGGGGACUGCCUGCGAAAGCAGGAGGAAGGCGGGGACGACGUCUGGUCAUCAUGGUCCUUACGGCCUGGGGCGACACACGUGCUACAAUGCCCACUACAGAGCGAUGCGACCCAGCGAUGGGGAGCGAAUCGCAAAAAGGUGGGCGUAGUUCGGAUUGGGGUCUGCAACCCGACCCCAUGAAGCCGGAAUUCGCUAGUAAUCGCGGAUCAGCCAUGCCGCGGUGAAUACGUUCCCGGGCC
rnacentral:rRNA from 1 species